rfam:Mus musculus chromosome 12, GRC primary reference assembly.
AGGGAUGUAGCUCAGUGGCAGAGUGCUUGCCUAGUACAUCCAAGACUCUGGGUUCAAUCCCCAGCAUCAUCA